rnacentral:rRNA from 1 species
CACGUAGGGGGCAAGCGUUGUCCGGAUUCAUUGGGCGUAAAGAGCUCGUAGGCGGUUCGAUAAGUCGGGUGUGAAACCUCCAGGCUCAACCUGGAGACGCCACCCGAUACUGUCGUGACUAGAGUCCAGUAGGGGGGCGUGGAAUUCCUGGUGUAGCGGUGAAAUGCGCAGAUAUCAGGAGGAACACCAGCGGCGAAGGCGGCGCUCUGGGCUGGAACUGACGCUGAGGAGCGAAAGCGUGGGGAGCGAACAGG